CUCCUCCCCCACAUACAUUUUGUCUUCCCUCCCCUUCCCUCUCCCUCUCUAUGUGCCUCACAAGAAAGAGGUGAGCUCCUCUAGAGACCCAGAGCUCAACAGACAAUAGCCCCUGCUUUGCGGAGCUUUCCUUCCGGAAGAGACAGUAGCGACCCUACCCAUUCAGGCAGAUGGACCAGAGGCACUUGCUGCUGGAGGAGAGUGUCCAGGGUGGAAUUGGAGAAGGACACCAUAUCUUUGGUUUUUGGGUCAAAGAGCCAAGACUCAGGACUUGGGCCCAUUGGAAGGAGGACCAGACUGGAAAUGGGAAACUCAGCUUCAAACCCAGCUCUGCCCCAUGCUGGAGAGGGGGUUCUCUUGGAAACCACUUGAUCUCCCUGAACCUCAAUCUUACCCUCUAAAGAUGGGGGCAAUA